CUUGGAGCCGGAAGAAACUGAGGGACCUUCUAACACAUACAUUGGACCACUGACGCCAUGUCUUCUUUGUGGAGAGGAAUUUCCGUUUUCACAGAUAAGGCAACACAAUCAGUCUUGUUCAAGACGAUCACAGGAUGGCAGGGAAAGACAGACUGAAGGUGAGAAUGGAGAGGAAUCUGUCCCUUCCACCAGUGGGGCAAGUCGCAGCUCUUCACGGCAACAAGUUGCAGAUAUAGUGGUGACACUGGAGACAGGUUCAGAUCAGGCUGGUCCUUCAACUGCUCUAAGCACACAGCAGCCUAAUCCUCCAGAUAUUCAGAGGGACCUCGGAAAUGCUUGGAUUACAGAAGUAGUUCCAGCCAAAGCGUCUGAGCUGUACAUUGAGUCAGUACAUGAAGCAAACAAGGAUAAAGAGAGUCUUUCAUUUACCCUGAGUUUAAGAGAUACCCUGAAGGAAAGGAACCGUGCCAUUCUGAGAUUCUACAAAAGGCCACGGGUGCAGUGGACUAACCCACUGCGAUGUCAUCUCAUAGGUGAUGCUGCCAUUGGAGAGGGUGUUAAUAGACAUGUACUUUCAAUAGUCAUGUCAAACCUUCAGAAUGGAUUCUUGCUUGAUGACGAAACUGAACUGAAGACAUUGCUGUUUGAGGGUGAGCAGGACCAUCUCACUCCCUCUACAUCGAGGCUGCUCCUAGAAAGCGACUUUUUCGUGUGGCGGGUCGAAUUAUCGGCCACAGCUUUCUGAAUGGUGGUCCUUGUCUGGUUGGUCUCAGCCAAGGAAUCAUCCAUGUGCUGUUUGGAGGGGAACCAGAAACAGCCACUGUAACUGAGUCAGAUUGUGCUGACCAAGAUGUCCGUGAGGUCAUAAGAAUGUUACAGGGAACAAAGGAUUUGUCAGAGGAGGAGAAAUCCGUGGUUCUCUCUUUGACGUUGCCAUGGGAUCUUCCUGGAGUUACAGUCAAUAACAGACAUUGGCUCCAAGAAAAAAAUACUCCUCCAUGCUGUUUUGGAAAGAACAGCACAACAGGUGAAACAAAUCCGAAGAGGGCUGAAAGACACAGGUGUGUGGGAAUUUUUCAGUUCCAGGCCUGAUGCUGUGCCAGUACUUUUUCCAAGGGCCAGUGAGGCAGAGAUAACCCCACAGAUGGUAAUCGAUAACAUAAACUGGCCUAAAGAUGAAGAUAUAGAUGAAGACAUACUCUCGUUGGAUGAUCACUGUCUGAUCAUGAGCUUCCUCCGAAGAUUCAUAGAAAAUGGAACAUCAGACAUCCUCAAGAGUUUACUAACAUUCUGGACUGGCUGGGGUGUGGUAUGCUCCAAUCUCGAGGUCGAAGUUAUUGACUGCAGUCUCCCACAGUCGUCCACUUGCUUCCUGACUUUGAAGCGAUCCAAAAACCACAAAAACUAUGAAGACUUCCACCAAGACCUUAUGGCAAGCAUUUCUUCGGCCUAUUCUGGUUUUGGUCAGAUUUAAGCUGGGCCAUUUAAACAACGAAUGUUGUUGGUUAUUGGUAUUAUUACUUUUAAAUUGUUCUUAUGGUUCAGUCUCUUGAUAGAUAUGGAUAUUCUGGAAUAAUCCACUUGUUAAUUAUGUAUUAGAAUUUGACAGUA